rnacentral:rRNA from 1 species
UACGGGGGGGGCAAGCGUUGUUCGGAAUUACUGGGCGUAAAGGGUUCGUAGGUGGCUUGCUCAGUCAGACGUGAAAUCCCUCAGCUUAACUGGGGAACUGCGUCUGAUACUGGCGAGCUUGAGUGCAGGAGAGGAACGCGGAAUUCCAGGUGUAGCGGUGAAAUGCGUAGAUAUCUGGAGGAACACCGGUGGCGAAGGCGGCGUUCUGGACUGCAACUGACACUGAGGAACGAAAGCCAGGGGAGCGAACGGG